rnacentral:lncRNA from 1 species
AAAACCUGAGUAGUAAAUUCGCCCUGCCCACCUCCCGGAAUGGCUGCCAGGAUCAAACGGGAUAUUGCCUAAGAAAGCACUCUGUAAACGCCAGGCUCUGUCAGAAGCUUUGAUGAGGACAACUGAAGCAGUGCAACUGGAGUGUGGUCUCCCGACAUCCAGCCCACUGUUCUGCCUCACUCCCUCUCUUCAGAACUUCCACCGAGGACCUUGUCAGAGUAAAGGCUCACAUGCUGUGGGACUCCCACUGGGAUUUUCAACAGGUUGCUUAGGGAGCUCUGAGUUGAAGCUUUGCCAUGCCUACCACUCCUUUUUAGGAAGCCUCCACCCUGGAAGUAAUAACCAACAACAGCCAGUUAUGUUUGGCCCCAUUCCCAGGAUCCAUGGCAAGGGAAACAAAAGAAAAAAUAAACAAAUGGAG